GUGCUUGUGGUGUAGUGGUUAUCACAUCCGCCUAACACGCGGAAGGUCCCAGGUUCGAGCCCUGGCAGGCACA
rnacentral:tRNA from 2 species